AAACUCAAAUGAAUUGACGGGGCCCGCACAAGCAGCGGAGCGUGUGGUUUAAUUCGAUGCAACGCGAAGAACCUUACCUACCCUUGACAUCUACAGAAGCCGGAAGAGAUUCUGGUGUGCCUUCGGGAACUGUAAGACAGGUGCUGCAUGGCUGUCGUCAGCUCGUGUUGUGAAAUGUUGGGUUAAGUCCCGUAACGAGCGCAACCCUUGUCCUUAUUUGCCAGCGAGUAAUGUCGGGAACUCUAAGGAGACUGCCGGUGACAAACCGGAGGAAGGUGGGACGACGUCAAGUCAUCAUGGCCCUUACGGGUAGGGCUACACACGUGCUACAAUGGCCGGUACAAAGGGCUGCGAGCUCGCGAGAGUCAGCGAAUCCCUUAAAGCCGGUCUCAGUCCGGAUCGGAGUCUGCAACUCGACUCCGUGAAGUCGGAAUCGCUAGUAAUCGUGAAUCAGAAUGUCACGGUGAAUACGUUCCCGGGCCUU
rnacentral:rRNA from 1 species